rnacentral:rRNA from 1 species
GGGGGGGGCCUUACCAUGCCAGUCGGACGGGCUCUUCGGAGCUAGUGGCGGACGGGUGAGUAACACGUGGGAACGUGCCUUUAGGUUCGGAAUAAGCCCGGGAAACUGGGUCUAAUACCGAAUGUGCCCUUGGGGGGAAAGAUUUAUCGCCUUUAGAGCGGCCCGCGUCUGAUUAGCUAGUUGGUGAGGUAAUGGCCCACCAAGGCUCCGAUCGGUAGCUGGUCUGAGAGGACGAUCAGCCACACUGGGACUGAGACACGGCCCAGACUCCUACGGGAGGCAGCAGUGGGGAAUCUUGCGCAAUGGGCGAAAGCCUGACGCAGCGACGCCGCGUGAGGGAGGAAGGCCUUCGGGUUGUAAACCUCUUUCAGGAGGGACGAAGCCACUCGGGUGAACAGCCCAGAGGGUGACGGUACCUCCAGAAGAAGCCCCGGCUAACUACGUGCCAGCAGCCGCGGUA